UGUUCUCCAUGAAUGCCAUACGGCGCAUCCACUUAAAUACUCUAUCAUUUCGAACCGAUAAUAAACCAGUGACGCGAUUAAAAAUAUCAAUCAGAGUAGAGAAUUUAUUUUUCGUCCAGGAAAAUCGUUGAUCUCUUCAUCUAUUUCAAAAUACCGCGACCCAAUGCCGUUUUUUUUUUCGAUUCGUUGUGGGAAAGACAAGCUUGUUCGGUUAUUUGAGCGCAUACUCGAAGCACAACUGGGAAAGACGAGAAGGCUCCAACAGCGAGAGAAGCAUAUAAACUGAGAAGAAAGACGAAGGAUAUCUGUGGGACAACCCCCACAAAGCCCAUCUAUUUAAGACGUUGUCGUGUUGGUGGAUUUUCGAGGGGACCCGUGGCUUUGGGGCAGUCCCACUAGACCUGCUCCUCACUAACACCUACACGGACAAGGGUUUUGGGGCCCCAAGGGUCCCAACACGCAUUCAACAGGGCGCAAGUGCACUUCAGGACCCACACCUGCUCCUACUUUUUUUUUUCAUUAUUUUCUCUUCUCUAGACGAUCUUUUGUCAGAGAGCCAAAGAGGGGAUUCUGCAGGGGUGGACUCAAUCAUUUAAUAUUCAUGUUUCCAUAUUUGUUAUCAAUAAAUCCAGUAAAUUUAAUUAUA